UAGGGAAUUUUGCGCAAUGGACGAAAGUCUGACGCAGCAACGCCGCGUGAGGGAUGAAGGUCUUCGGAUUGUAAACCUCUGUUGAAUGGGAAAAAAAGGUAGCAAUACUUUGAUGGUACCAUUUGAGGAAGCACCGGCUAACUACGUGCCAGCAGCCGCGGUAAUACGUAGGGUGCAAGCGUUGUUCGGAAUCACUGGGCGUAAAGGGAGCGUAGGCGGGAUCGUAAGUUAGGAGUUUAAUACAUGGGCUUAACCCGUGGCUGGCUUUUAAUACUGCGGUUCUUGAGUAUGGGAGAGGGCGAUGGAAUUCCAGGUGUAGCGGUGGAAUGCGCAGAUAUCAGGAGGAACACCGAUGGCGAAGGCAGGUCUCUGGGCCGCAACUGACGCUGAGGAGCGAAAGCAUGGGGAGCGAACAGG
rnacentral:rRNA from 1 species